rnacentral:rRNA from 1 species
UCAGACGAUGCGUCAUGCAUAUCAAUAAGCGGAGGAAAAGAAACUAACAAGGAUUCCCCUAGUAACGGCGAGUGAAGCGGGAAGAGCUCAAAUUUGAAAUCUUAAAGGGUUUCCCUUUACGAAUUGUAGUUUAAAGAAGUGUUUUCUGUUGAGGUUUUGGUAAAAGUUCUUUGGAAUAGGACAUCAUAGAGGGUGAGAAUCCCGUAUUUGACCUUUACUUUCAACUUUGUGAUACACUUUCAAAGAGUCGGAUUGUUUGGGAAUGCAGUCCAAAAUGGGUGGUAAAUUUCAUCUAAAGCUAAAUAUUGGCGAGAGACCGAUAGCGAACAAGUACCGUGAGGGAAAGAUGAAAAGAACUUUGAAAAGAGAGUUAAACAGUACGUGAAAUUGUCAAAAGGGAAGCGUUUGACACCAGUGUUGUUUUUCUGAAAAUCAAUUAAAGAACUGUCUAUGCUAAGUUGUUUAGACUUUAUCAGCUAACUGUUUAGUUUUGAGCUUUUCUUUAAUGCACUUUUCAGUUAACAAGUCAACAUCAAUUUCUUUUGCUGUAAAAAAGCUUGAGGAAGGUGGCUUGAGAUUCGUCUUAAGUGUUUAUAGCCUCUUGCCUAUGCAGUCGGAGAGAUUGAGGUCUGCAGCGUAGAUCCUUCGGGGCUAAAUGCAUUUGUGCUAAGUUAUAGCAUUUUAUAGACAACUUGUUGACUAUGAUUUGUCUUGUAGCUUACUCGCUUAUGUUAUUUUACCUACGCUUAGGAUGUUGAGCGCAUGUCUCUCUCU